rnacentral:rRNA from 1 species
UACGAAGGGAGCUAGCGUUGUUCGGAAUCACUGGGCGUAAAGCGCACGUAGGCGGAUGUGUCAGUCAGGGGUGAAAUCCCGGAGCUCAACUUCGGAACUGCCUUUGAUACAGCACAUCUGGAGUCCGGAAGAGGUGGGUGGAAUUCCUAGUGUAGAGGUGAAAUUCGUAGAUAUUAGGAAGAACACCGGUGGCGAAGGCGGCCCACUGGUCCGGUACUGACGCUGAGGUGCGAAAGCGUAGGGAGCAAACAGG